rnacentral:rRNA from 1 species
AUUGAACGCUGGCGGCAUGCCUAACACAUGCAAGUCGAACGGCAGCACAGUAAAGACUUCGGUCUUUAUGGGUGGCGAGUGGCGGACGGGUGAGUAACGCGUAGGAAUCUGUCCUGGAGAGUGGGAUAACCCGAGGAAACUCGGGCUAAUACCGCAUGAUAUCGAGAGAUCAAAGGCAGGGGACCCUUCGGGGCCUUGCGCUCUAGGUUGUGCCUACGUCGGAUUAGCUAGUUGGUGGGGUAAAGGCCUACCAAGGCGACGAUCCGUAGCUGGUCUGAGAGGAUGACCAGCCACACUGGGACUGAGACACGGCCCAGACUCCUACGGGAGGCAGCAGUGGGGAAUCUUGGACAAUGGGGGAAACCCUGAUCCAGCGAUGCCGCGUGUGUGAAGAAGGCCUUCGGGUUGUAAAGCACUUUAGGUGGGGAAGAAAGGUAAUGAGUGAAUAACUGAUUGCUUUGACGGUACCCGCAGAAUAAGCACCGGCUAACUCUGUGCCAGCAGCCGCCGUAA